GACGCUAGAAGUUGUUGCUGUCUAGGGUUUUCUAUUUUUCUUGCUUUUGGGCUUGUGGGUUGCAAUUUUGGUAUUAGGUUUGAAUUGGUUUUGUAAUUGGUUAUUGGGCUGGGGUGUAUUAGGCUUAUGGUUUAUUUUAUUGGACUAUUAUUUUACAUUUUAUUUUAUUUUUAUUUUUAUUUAGUUUUAAUAAGCCCGAUAAAAUUGGUUAUUACAGCUGUGUUUUUCUGCUCGUUAUCGUGUAACGGGAACGAAGCAAAGACUUUAAAAAAGACCAAUUUUGCCCGGUCGUGCUGGACCUUGGUACUCGUCCUCUUUAAGUAGCCUCAUUUCAUCCUACUGCAUCUUCAGAAGUAUAGGAAUUGGUGUCUCGAUCAAUUCCUCCGCAACGUCGGGGAGAUAGGGUUUGUAACUCAUAACUUUAAUUUGCUUAACUGUGAUGUCGGGGAAGCAAGAUUCACCUUCAUAGCUUUAAUCUGUUCUACUACACUGCUAGGGAAGUAAGAUUCAUUAUCCUGAGUCUGCC
rnacentral:lncRNA from 1 species